rnacentral:rRNA from 1 species
UGGGGAAUAUUGCACAAUGGGCGCAAGCCUGAUGCAGCCAUGCCGCGUGUAUGAAGAAGGCCUUCGGGUUGUAAAGUACUUUCAGUCGGGAGGAAGGUGGUAAGGUUAAUAACCUUAUCAAUUGACGUUACCGACAGAAGAAGCACCGGCUAACUCCGUGCCAGCAGCCGCGGUAAUACGGAGGGUGCAAGCGUUAAUCGGAAUUACUGGGCGUAAAGCGCACGCCGGCGGUUGAUUGAGUCAGAUGUGAAAUCCCCGGGCUUAACCCGGGAAUUGCAUCUGUUACUGGCAAGCUUGAGUCUCGUAGAGGGGGGUAGAAUUCCAGGUGUAGCGGUGAAAUGCGUAGAGAUCUGGAGGAAUACCGGUGGCGAAGGCGGCCCCCUGGACGAAGACUGACGCUCAGGUGCGAAAGCGUGGGGAGCAAACAGG